rnacentral:rRNA from 1 species
AGCUCCAAUAGCGUAUAUUAAAGUUGUUGCGGUUAAAAAGCUCGUAGUUGGAUUCCUGUAUGGAAGGGGCGUCCCCACCCUUUGGAUGGGGGUUGCUACCUUCUUUGCAUCUUCCGGAGUAGAUGUUCCUUACUUAAUUGUGAGGACAUCGUGCUCGGGUCAUUUACUUUGAGGAAAAGAGAGUGCUCCAAGCAGGCAAACGCCUGAAUACGUUAGCAUGGAAUAAUAGCAUCGGAUCAUCGUUCAGCUGUUGGUGUCUGGACGAGGAUAAAGGUGAACAGGGAUUGUUGGGGGCAUUCGUAUUUAACUGUCAGAGGUGAAAUUCUUGGAUUUGUUGAAGACGAGCUACUGCGAAAGCAUUUGCCAAAGAUGUUC